GACAGCUGGCCGCACGCUCCAGUGCACGCGAUAACGUGAUGGCGGAACACAGAAGCACGCGGCAGGAUUGGAACAAAUCCGUCAGCUUGCUUGAAGUUCACAUCAGGCACAACAUGCAGGUGGAGAUUUGGCAAGAGUUCCUGUGGUUACCCAUAACGAUCUGCACACUCCUGUUCUACAGUACAUCAUCCUGCCUCUGUAGUGGGGCUGCUCGUACAUCAGCCAGUGGCCGU